AGGCGUCUGCCUUGUUCGAGCAAGUACAGUUUCUUUAAAUCCGAACAUUUAUUGAAACGGGAAUCUUGGCUCCGUAUGCGGGAUGCAGACCUCCCGGCCCCUGCUUUGACUGGGGUUGGAUGAAGGGAGCGCGAUGUAUAUGGGCGGAUACCCACCUGCUGAGAAGCGGGUUUAUAACACUGUACGACGGCAAGGUGGAGUUAAA
rnacentral:other from 1 species